ensembl:lncRNA
GUUAAUUUCUCGCUGGUGUGGCCAGGAUGUCAGGGAUGAGGUGGUGUUGCAUCUUCAUUUGGACAUCAAAACUAUCCAAAUGAUCAGACAAAAGGAAGGAGAUAUCUCAUCCUCAGCUGGGAUAUGGGAGAACCAUGGAAAUGUUUCAGACCUACUAUAGUGCAAAUACAAUGAGCUUCAACGUAAGGGAUCCCUGUGUGUUCCAGUGAGCUCAGCAUUUCCAGUGCCUCUGAUCAUUCUGGAGCCCUUUGGCUGCCAUCUCCUGACAGGACCCUCGUUUGUCUCAAUCCUGGUGCUUCUAGACCAAGGCAAAUAGCUGCUACGUGCAUCCACCUCCAGCCUAAGAGGUAUAGACAGAGUGGGUCCAGCAGUAAAACCCACUUGUUCUCCAGUCCUCUCUCUGGUGGUGGGAGUUCACAUGGCACUGCAGUGCAUGGCAUGUUCAUUGCCUUCCCAUUGGUGGGAGAUGUAAAGUGGGCCAACAUGCAAAAAGGGAUCUCGUUUUUACGGACAGAAGAGGGAAACAGUUUUUUGAGGCCUUUAGGAACUCAAAGACUGCUGUCAGCUUGCCUUUCUCUACCACCAAGUGUUUUCUUCCCUUGGGAAAGGAGCCCCAGUUCCAUCAGUUGGCAGCCUGUCAUC